GCAUAUAAGUAAGUGGUGGCAAACGGAAAUGCAAAUGAUGUUCCAAGUAAUGGCGAAUGAAGAGAAAAGAGCUUGUGUACAGAACUUCUGUGUAGAAGAUGGUACUAUGUUGAGGUGUGAUAAGUUGGAUUGCGUGUGGAUAUUAUCGGAAUCGAUGCAACAAAAGGUGAAAUCCCUUUCCAUCACGCGCAGAUAUCAACGCACAUUCCAUGAUCGCAGAAUCAUGUUCCUUGGGAGAGGAUUAUGAAUUGCACAGUAAAGAAUGCGCAAGGCUCAUUAAUUUUCCGAUUCCGAUAGCAUACAAGUACCGUAAGGGAAAAGUGCAAAGUACUUUGAAGAGAGGGUUAAACGUGCCUUUAAUCGCGCCAACGUAAGCAUUCCGGUUUUCAUUGUCUACUUGGGAGUUGUUUCGGCCCACUGAUACAUUACCUGUCGCAAGAAACUUUUGAGAGGACAUCGGAGACAAACUCCUUGGUGAAGAUAUGGCAUAAAGAUACUUUUUGAAAAAUAAGUCGAUUGUCAGUCUCAUUGAGACUAACAUCCGAUCAAAUCCAAAAAUAGUUCUAAUCACGAAAGGACGUUUCAAUCUGGCACAGGCCUCGAAAUCGCUCUCAGCACACGUGCCGAGCGUUACGUUACCUCUCUUCGGAUAUGCACGUCCUUCCCUGUGCCGAUCAAAGGAACUCGAAAUUUCCCGUCUUGAAACACGGACCAAGGAUUCCACACACCUUCGCGAAAACGAUUCCUAGAACCCCGUAUCUGAAGUAAAAACAAUAGCUCGGACCUCUACACAAGCGGCCCGUCUUGCUUUGCGCAAAAAUAUAUGAGCGCGAGCGUUAUUGUUGGAACUCGAAAGAUGGUGAACUAUAUUUGGAUAGGAUGAAGUCAGACGAAAGUCUGAUGGAAGUUCAUAGCGAUACUGACGUGCAAAUCGUUCGUCAUAUCUGAAUAUAGGGGCGAAAGACUAAUCGAA
rnacentral:rRNA from 1 species